CUCAGCCCCCUGGUAGACUUGGUAUCUCCCGGCUGGAUGGGUCACAUGGUAUGCUUAGGGCUCUGACGUAGGCUUUUAGCAUGGAAGCCCAGCCCAGAAAUUCUGAGAACUAAUUUGCUAUUCUGUGACAUAAGACAAGGGGUCCGGGCUCUGUUCUGUAACUGUGUGAAGCACAUAAGCCUCUUUCUACACCCAGCACACAGGGGGACACACUGGACAGGGCACACCAAUAAAGACUCCUUCUAUACAAUAAAGCUCCAAAAGACAGAUUCCAUAGCUCAGGGUGAGGGGUGGCAUUCAGGUGGGUUAUUUUUUGUUUUGGAGGGGAUCCCACUACCUCCACAAGGCCCAUACACUCCACAGGACUGGGAGAUGAGCAGCUGGAUCCCUAUUGAGAGUCUGGAUGUGAGAUCUAUGCUGUAUCAUCCCGAUUCUGCACACUGAGAUGAUUUAUUUUUAUCCAAAGUUCUAAUUAUUUUGUUUUUGUCUUUAUUUUUUGUUCCUGUUCCCUGGGAGGGGGACACCCAGCAUUCAGUGAAAGCUGUCAGUGGAUUUGCUUGGCAUUCCUAUUUUCCCAUGGACUAAAUGUGGUAUGGUAUUUGCUGUAAUCAAUAACCAUAAAUCAAGGGUCUUAUCACUGUGAUAGAUCAGAUCAGAUCAGAGCUGAGCAUUUAUUUUCCUUAGCUCUGAACAUAGAUGCAUGUUUUGUCUUGAAAUGUUUUAAUGUCGGUAUGCUUUUGUAUUAUAGCUGUAUGUUAUGAAACUUGACUGUAUGUCUGUCUAUUUAUUCCAUUAAAUAUGUUACAUUACUGGGAGCACACUGCUUAAAAAGCCCAGAGAAUCAGUGCUGUAGGCGGGAGUUUUUUUGCCCUGGGAGGGAAAGUUUAUAGAAACUACUCUAUAAACCAGAAUAUAUGUCUUCAUUUGUCUGUUUGGGUGCAUGGGUGGGGCUUGACUGUCUACAGGAACUAGACAUAUACAAAUUUAUGUUCAAUGACAUUUACAGACAGCAGUGUUCCUGGCUGGGCAGCCCUUAACCUUUUCAUUACCACUCAGACCACUACAGCCGGAAGAGUUAAAUUUAUAGCACUGUACAGAUACACUGAGAGUGUGCUGAGGGAGUGUGUGAGGCUGAAAAAGGAGCAUAACUCUUACAUCAGUAGCCGGAAACAGGAUUACAGCCCAACUAAUCAGAUUGUCCAUGGUUUUACAUUGCAGUCUGUGCCUAUAAAUUGACAGCUUUAAAAUGUGACACACACAGCUUAACCCAUUCAGUGCCAGGAGGUUGCAGAUCAUUCUCGUGUUCCAAAUUAGUAUGACCUAACAGAUGUUGUGUGUCAUGGAUUUGAGGAUUGUACUCUAUACUGCUUUUCAGGCAGAGAUACAAAGUUUAGCUAUAGUUUACAUUAUCAUGAAAGUUGUAUCACCUUAAAACUUUGCAGUGAUAGUCUAGCUAAACUGAUAAGAAUGUUGGAAGAUGGACCUCUGACUUCAGCGAAGUUCAUUCUGCAGGCCUAUGUCACCAGCUGUUAAUUAACUCAAUAAAGUCUAUGUGAGGUCUUCUCAUUUAACCAGGAAAUUUGAAAAGAUCUGCAAAUUUUAGGCCAAAUUUGAAACUAAGCCAGUUUGGUUAUUUUAGUUUAAAAUCUGCAGCCCCUUGGUGAGUAAUCCAAAUUUCUGCUUUAGUGAAUACGGUCAUGUUCCACUAAAUGAAAAUUGUUGUUUGAUAAUGUCUGUACGUCAUCUUGUGUGUAUCAAAAUGUGGUUUUAAUUUACAGAAUAAAUCUGAACAGUCUUUUAUACUCUGUGCGUAGUGUUGAUUCGUCAUUCCUAUCCACUUGUUAUUUAUAACAUGGAUUAGCUGUUGAUAUGUUGUUAAGUUGACUAGGCUUCAGUUUAUUGACACACUAUUACACUGGGAUUUCUUAAUAUAGUAUUCUAAAAAUGGUUUGGCAUUACCCUUGUUUUUAAGGUGGCUAUAACUAAAUAAUGAACUGCAUAGAAUAUAGAUAGAAAUUGCAAAACGUAGGGCACAUAGCCAUGAUGGGUAGAAAAUUCUCAAACUCAACAAUUCUUCCAGUAUUUCACUUUGGCCUAUAUUCUGCACUUUAC